UACCAGAAACUCAGUGUCUCCACCCAUCUUUUUGUUUAUACGGUGUUUUGUCAGUGAGAGCUCAUUCAUUGUCUUCAUGAUGACCAUCAUCUCUCUACUCUUGCUGGCCUAUCUGCUGCCACACAUGACCUUCACUGUUCAGAGACUCUGACAGUUGUGGUUGGUGCACACGACCUAAAAAAUAAGACUGAAGGUUCUGUCUGCAUCGGAGUGAAGUCCUACCACCAGCAUCCAGACUUUACUGAGGAACCUGUCAUGAAUGACAUGAUGCUUUUGAAGGUAACAAUCUGCAUUAGGCAAAAAAUAUCUACAUGAAACAUUUUUCUAAAAAUAAUAAAUUAAUAUCUGGGCUAUAUUAUAUGUAAGCAAGAUAUAAUGUAGGCUACAGUCGGUCAUCGUAUAUUAUCUUUUUUACACACCGACAAAUUGUUUUAUAAUCUUACCUGUCCUCUAUAUCAUCUCAAAGCUUCUGCGAUCAUAAAGGAUGACGGACCGCUGCUGAAUCCCAUGAUCGAACAAUCAGAAUCAAGUAUUGCAAAGCACUGUCAUAGCUAAAUUACUGUCAUUGUAAAAUAUUUUCCUUUUUAAUGUAAAUAUAAAUGAUUUAUACAAAUGAUUGAUUUCUAAAGAUUUACAAAUGUAAAUGUUUUUAUUUGCAUACUGUGCAUACAUCUAUAUUGUACUUUUCAGUGUAGGCUUUCUAAUUGUGGAAAAAUGUAUUCACAGUGGAUCAAAAAAAAACAACAAAAAAAAACAGACAUACUUAAAUCAAAUUUGACCAAAAAAAGUUAGCGAAUACGUUUGUACAGUAUAUGCAUAUGUAAAUAAUUAGCAAAACUGUUAUUCAAUAUUAUUAAAUAUUUCUGUUAUGUUUUAUACUACAGCUAGAGAAAAAAGUCACACAAAAUGAGAAAGUCAACAGGAUAUCUAUACCAAUAAAAGAAGAGGAGAUUGAAGUGCAUUCUGUCUGCAGUGUUGCAGGCUGGGGAAGGCUGGAUAAUGGUCUUAGCAAUCGUCUCAUGGAAACACAUGUGAAGAUCAUAAAUAACAAAAUGUAAAAUAAAUGGGGAAAAGCUGACUAUUCAGCUUCACAGAUGAUGUAUACAUAUGGCAAUGGAGGAAGUUGCACUGGGGAUUCAGGAGGUUCUUUGGUUUGUGGGAAAACUGCUGUUGGUGUCACAUCUUUUGGUGACCCUAAUCUCUGUAAUUCCCCUGAGCUACCUGAAGUUUAUAUGAAGGUUUCGGCAUAUCUGCAAUGGAUACAUACAAGUUUAUUGGAAAUGUUUAUUGACUUGAUUUGGCCUUGAAUUUAUUAAAAUUAUUUCAAUAAAUGUGUCAUAUGU